CAUGAGAGCUUGCUCUUGAUGACGAGUGGCGAACGGGUGCGUAACACGUAUACAAUCUACCUUUAACUGAGGGAUAGCCCAGAGAAAUUUGGAUUAAUACCUCAUAGUAUUAUUUUAAGGCAUCUUAAUAUAAUUAAAACUCCGGUGGUUAAAGAUGAGUAUGCGUUCUAUUAGUUUGUUGGUGAGGUAACGGCUCACCAAGACCACGAUAGAUAGGGGGCCUGAGAGGGGAUCCCCCACACUGGUACUGAGACACGGACCAGACUCCUACGGGAGGCAGCAGUGAGGAAUAUUGCGCAAUGGAGGAAACUCUGACGCAGCCAUACCGCGUGUAGGAAGAAUGUCCUAUGGAUUGUAAACUACUUUUAUACAAGAAGAAGCCCCAGUACGUGUACUGGGCUGACGGUAUUGUACGAAUAAGCACCGGCUAACUCCGUGCCAGCAGCCGCGGUAAUACGGAGGGUGCAAGCGUUAUCCGGAUUUAUUGGGUUUAAAGGGUCCGCAGGCGGGAUUCUAAGUCAGUGGUGAAAGCCUACAGCUCAACUGUAGAACUGCCAUUGAUACUGGAAUCCUUGAGUGUGGUUGAAGUAGACGGAAUAUGUCAUGUAGCGGUGAAAUGCAUAGAUAUGACAUAGAACACCAAUUGCGUAGGCAGUUUACUAAACCAUUACUGACGCUCAUGGACGAAAGUGUGGGUAGC
rnacentral:rRNA from 1 species